UACGGAGGGUGCAAGCGUUAUCCGGAUUCACUGGGUUAAAGGGUGCGUAGGCGGGUUGGUAAGUCCGUGGUGAAAUCCCCAAGCUUAACUUGGGAACUGCCGUGGAUACUAUCUGUCUUGAAUAUUGUGGAGGUGAGCGGAAUAUGUCAUGUAGCGGUGAAAUGCUAGAUAUGACAUAGAACACCAAUUGCGAAGGCAGCUCACUACUCAAUCAUGACUCUGAGGCACGAAAGCGUGGGGAUCAAACAGG
rnacentral:rRNA from 1 species